GAAGACAUGAUAUAACUCAGGAAACAAGAAACCAAAGACUUUGCUAGGACUGACGUGAGUUAUAAUUAGCCAUGGAAUGAUUUUCUUGAGCUUAAUUUAUUUUCUUGGAAUUUACGAGAGUUUACGAGAAAGGAAAAGAACUGGAAACAUGAGGAAGAAAAAGGCAGGCAAUACCAUUCAUAUACAUAUAUAUAAAUAUAUAUUCUCUGUCAAAUAUGGAAAAUCUAUGUGUCAUAUUGUUCCCCUUUCUUCCCUUUUUUUUUUAACAACUGCUUGACUGUUAACUCAUGUCUGUCUGUUUUGCCUCGUACGGAGACUAAGAACAAUUUUUUUUUCCUUGUUAAGUUUUGUUUUGUAAACAGCAAGAAAAGAACUUUCAUCAAUAAAGAAUCAAGUUGAGAGUGUGUGAUGAAAUCGGAAGAAGAAAACUAAAGAAAAUCAUUAAUGGGGAGGCUGAUCAGAAAGCGGAAAGCCUACCAGGAAGCUGCCAUGGCUCACAUG
rnacentral:misc_RNA from 1 species